UCGUAGACUAAAAAAUGGCCGCCACAACAACAGAAAUAUUCUAUAUUGGCGAUCUUUCAUUUAUUAUGGCGUAUUUUAACAAAACCAACUGCCAAUUUCAAGACAGAAGACGACUCUGUGGAAUCUGCAACCCGGUGAGUAAAUUAACAAAUCGUUAAGACGCCGUUUUGACUAAAUUUUCAGGGGACGCAACCUCGCGCCAACUGUCAAAAUGUUUUGAAAAACAAAAUGCUCUUAUUUCGAUGCAUUUCAAGAGUUUUGUUGUGAUAAGAACACUGGAAUAUAGACUGAAAUACUAUCCAACCAUUAGACUCAUGAUCUUGACAUGGAUCCAAGAUGCUGGUAACUAGGCGGGACGGAUUGUUACACAGAACUGCAGGUUUCUGGAUGGAGACUCAGCGCCAUGUCACAAAUACUUCAGAACCUAGAAUGAAAGUUACUGAAAGAGCAAUAGAAUUUCCAAUCUCUACAAAAUUCAUCUUAGCUGUUUUUCAAGGUGAUACUUGAGACUACCAAAGACUUUUCAAGGACAUAAUUCACAAAACAGUUUAUGCCACCAUCUCAUAUCAAAGGAUUGUGCUUGAGUUGAACAGCCUUCAAACAGAAACUGUUUCAACACCUUCAAUGGAUUCAUUCUGAUUCAGUUUACCCUUGCUGUGAUCUGAGCAACUAUUUACAUCAAUUCAACAUUGUAAAUUGUUUAAACUUGAAAAUUCUGUCUUGGUGCAACUCACAUGAAUCUGUUGACUUUGAUGUUGACUCUAUACAGGAAGAAGAGACCAUCUUUAUACAUGCUGGCAUAUCUUUUAAAAGGGAAACAAAUAUUAUAACCAACAUACUACACUGUUAUGUCAUCCAAGGACUCAGCCACUGACUCAAUUUAUAAAUACUUCAAAGGAAAAAUGUCUCUGUCAAUAUAAUUACUGCUGUGCAUAAUAAGACAUUUUCAGCUCUACUAUUCGAAGAAUAAGGAGAGCUAUACUACUCACCCAAGUGUCGGCGGCGGCUUCACCCCUUGGUUAAGGUUUUGCGUGCAAGCACACAUAGGUUAAUAUCUCAGCAACUACUUGAGGUAUUGCAUUCAGACUUUAUACAAUGGUACUCAACCAUCCAACCUACAUAAUUAAUCAAGUUUGAUAACUCUACUUUGCAUUUAAUGCCAAUAAUAGACCUUUAUUAUUUGACUUAGAAAUUCUGGUUAAGGUUUUGCGUGCAAGCACACAUAGGUUAAUAUCUCAGCAACUGCUUGAGGUAUUGCAUUGAGACUUGAUACAAUGGUACUCAACCUUCCAACCUACUUAAUUUACCAAGUGAGAUAACUCUAGUUUGCAAUUAAUGCAAAUAAUUGCCCUUUAUUAUUCGACUCAUAAAUUCUGGUUAAGGUUUUGCAUGUAAGCACACUUAGGUUAAUAUCUCAGCAACUACUUGAGGUAUUGUAUUGAGACUUUAUAAUAUGGUACUCAAUCAUCCAAUCUACUUAAAUAACCAAGUAAGAUAACUCCAGUUUGCAUUAAAUUCAAAUAAUGGCCCCUUUUUUAUUCAACAUAGAAAUUCUGGUUAAGGUUUUGCAUGUUACCACUUUUAAGUCAAUGCUUCACCAAAUACAUCAUGUAUAGCAUUGAAACUUUACACACAGGCUCCCAACCAUUUAACCUUCUUAUUUAAUCAAGUAAGAUAACUCUAUCUUUCAUAUUAUUUAAUUGUUGCCCCUUUAUUAUGCGACUUAGAAAUUCUGGUAAAGGUCUUGCAUGUUAGCACACAUAGGAUAAUAUCUCAGCAACUACUUGAUGUAUUGCAUUGAGACUUUAUACAAUGGUAUUCAACCACCCAACCUAAUUGAAUAAUCAAGUUAGAUAACUGUGUUUUGCAAAUAAUUGCCCUUUAUUAUUACACUUAAAAAUUCUGGUUAAAAUUUUGCAUGUAACCACAUAUAUGUUAAUAUCUCCGCACGUCAUGUAUUGCAUUGAAAUCUAAUCUAACAGUGAUACAUGCAUGUUUCGCCAAAACUUUUCAAUCCUUACACUGAAAAGCGGCAGAAUAGUCGAGCGCGCUGUCUCUGUGACAGCUCUUGUUUAUUAUGCACCCCUUCGAAGAAGAGGGGUAUAUUGCUUUGCACAUGUCGGUCGGUACCGUCUACCGUCUGUAGACCAAAGCUUGUCCGAGUGAUAACUCAACAAUUCCUGGACGUAUGGUCAUCAAACUUGACAUGAAGGUUGGGCCUGACCAGUAGAUGAUUUUAGGGCUCAUCAGGUCAAAGGUCAAGGUCACAGUGACCUUGAAUGGUAAAUUAAUUUUAAAGCUUGUCCGAGUGAUAACAAUGCCAAGACCUUUCGUCAUCAAACUUGAUAUGGAAGUUGGGCCUCACCAGGAGUUGACACCUAUUGGUUUUGGAGAUCAUCGAGCCAAAGAUCAAGGUCACAGUGACCUUGAAUGGUAAAAGGUUGUCCAAGUGAUAAAUCAACAAUGCCUGCCCCCAUGGCCCUCAAACUGGACUCGGAGGUCGGGCCUUACCAGUAGAUGACCCCUAUUUAUUUUAGGGGUCAAAGGUCAAGGUCAAAGUGAUCUUGAAAGCAAACUCGACAAUUCCGGGACCAAUCAUGCCAUUCAGUCUGAAUGGUCAUCAAACUUGACAUAAAGGUUGGGCCUGACCAGUAGAUGACCCCUCUUGACUUUGAGGGUCAUCAAGCCAAGGUCAAGGUCACAAUAACCUUUAAUGCAAAAAAGAUAACAAAUCCUCUCUCAGGGAUAUCUCAACAAUGCCUGAACCUAUGAUCAUCAAACUUGACAUGGAAGUUGGUCCUGACAAGGAGAUGAUGCUUAUUGAUUUUAGGAGUCAAGUUCACAGUGACCUUGAAUGCGAAAAUGUUUCGAGUGAUAUCUUGACAAUGCCUGUACCCAUGGCCCUCAAACCUGACUUGAAGUUGUGUCUGGCCUGUAGAUGAGUCCCUUUCAUUUUAGGGGUCAUCGUGUCAAACGUCAAGGUCACAGUGAUAUUGAUUGAAAAAAGCUUGUCUGUGUGAUAACAUGUCAAUUCCUGAACCCAUGUCCCUCAAACUUGACAUUUAGAUUUUUGUAGACCAGCUGAUGACUCAUAUGGAUUUUGAGGUCAUAGAGUCAAAGGUCAUGGUCAUAACACACUCUAUCCUCACACUUUGAAUGGUCAUAAUCUUAAAACUGCCUCAACGGCAUCCAAUGUCAGUGACCAAUCAGCUGUCAUUUCGGUCCAUGCUUAUUUCAUUCAAUUGUUCAUAUAAUCCUGACAACAUGGCGUUCAGGUGGGGGCAUAAUGUUUGACAAACAUCUCUUGUUGAUACUUGGCUCAUUUCUUACAUGUAGCUGUAACAUUUUGGGCAACUUCUCAAUUAUUUUGUUUAAGACAUUUUUCAUCCAGCUCAUCUAAGCCUAAGUUAGUGUUCAUGUUAACUUUUAUGACUGCCUGUUUAUUGUACUUUUUAUAAAUCAUUUUUAAUGACUUUUUCUCAAGAACCAUUUGGCUAAGUAUGUCUCCUCCUGAAAUAGACUAAUUUUUUUAGCUCCAGUUGUCUGCCUGUCCGUCUGUAACAAAUUGUGUCUGCUCCAUGUCUCUUUAACCUUUUAAAGGAGUUGAUAUAACUUCCCACAAAUGUACACCAUAUUGAGAGGAAGGGUUUAUUAUUAUAACUGUUGAGCAGUUUCUGAACUUGACUGUAUUAUAUCUUGCAUUUACCUUAAGCUGUUAAGUGAACAAUAUAACAUUGACCAAUACAAGGAACUAAACCUUCUAGGUCACCAUUUUGGAAUAAAGUAAUACUUAAAGCUCAUAUUUCCAUAGAAAUCUGCUCAUAUACAGUUUAAAUAGCUUAAACAAGUAUAUCAUUUCAACAUAACAUCAGAUCCUCCACUGUUUUAUGUUUGCAACAUUUUUUUUUAAACUUUGAUUUAUAUAUCAAGACUUUUAUGAACAAAUACCAAACAGCAACUCACAGAUCUAUACUCAUUUGGGCAGAAUUUUGUUAAUCCAAGCAUUGUCAUUUGAUAUUCAAUGCAUUUUUGCAAAUUGGGGCAUUUUCUGUCACAUUAAAAUCAAUAUUAAGUUAUUAACAUUAAAGCUCCAACUUCAAUAUUCUCAUUUUUGUGCCCAUUCUUUGCCAAUUAUUUGUUUGUCUGUUGGUAUACAUGUAUGUUUAUUCAUACUGUUUUUCAAAAUAACGAAUUAAUAAAAUGUUUGAAAUAUUUUAUUUGUUCAUAACUUAUUUAAUAUAACAAAAAGAUGACUGCAUUUUGU